rnacentral:misc_RNA from 1 species
GGCAGUCGCAUAUUCAAUACCUAAUAUUUAAAUUUCCAUACAUAGGAUUCACAAAAAGAAAAAAAAGAUAUUUACAACAACAAAAAGAUCCUUGCACUAAGCUAGUACGAGGUACAACAAACUUUGAGAUUUUAAGAACUACAACAUAGCCAAUUGUAUUAGAGCAAAAAGGACAAGUCUCAUCAUCAUUUAUCGAGGGUCAA